rnacentral:rRNA from 1 species
UACGUAGGGGCCGAGCGUUGUCCGGAUUUACUGGGCGUAAAGGGCGCGUAGGCGGCAGAUCAAGUCAGCUGUGAAAUCUCCGAGCUUAACUCGGAACUGUCAGCUGAUACUGUUUUGCUAGAGUGCGGAAGGGGCAAUCGGAAUUCUUGGUGUAGCGGUGAAAUGCGUAGAUAUCAAGAGGAACACCUGAGGUGAAGACGGGUUGCUGGGCCGACACUGACGCUGAUGCUCGAAAGCUAGGGGAGCAAACGGG